GACGUAGGGGGCCAGCGUUGCUCGGAAUUACUGGGCGUAAAGGGUUCGUAGGCGGGAAGAUAAGUUAAGUGUGAAAUCCCUAGGCUCAACCUAGGACGUGCAUUUAAAACUGUUUUUCUUGAGUGUUGGAGAGGGUAGUGGAAUUGCUGGUGUAGGAGUGACAUCCGUAGAGAUCAGCAGGAACAUCAGAGGCGAAAGCGACUGCCUGGCCAAACACUGACGCUGAGGAACGAAAGCGUGGGGAGCAAACAGG
rnacentral:rRNA from 1 species